CCUAGGGGUCGUAGGCGUUCUAGGGUUAUCCUCCCCGUCCGAACCGUUUUUGUGUUCCUUCCGCGCCGCCGUUUUUUGCUUCUCGAUUCACCGGCGUUCCUUCUUCCUCAACACGCCAUGUUCCGCCGUCGGCGAGCUUCUGUUGCACAACUGCCUCCGCGCCGGUGCCGUCCACCUGCCCUGAAAUUUUCGUCCGCAACCCCUUCUUUACGGUUUUUUAGUUUUGCGUCCUGCAGGGUUGGUCAGUCUAUUCCUCUUCCGUUUCUUCCCCUGCGGCGGCGGACUCGGCGGCGCCAUAGUACAGGAUGAAUCGGUCGUCUGCGUCCUGUAACUCGCUGGAGUCGCCUUCAAAAUUUCUCUCUUGGGGCUGGAGCUGGACACAGGGUGUGGGAGCAUCAUUUGCGAGAAUGCCUUCUAGAUAGGUUUCAAUACAGGCUGAUCUAUCUGCAACGCUGCCGCAGCAGAGUAACACUAAAUUUUGUUUGGGGUGUAUGUCAUCGUAUACUGUAAGUUAUUUUGUGUGAUUCUUUUGUGCUUGGAUUAGCAGGUAAUAUCAUGAGGUUUCUGGAUCUCAGCGGCAGAAUAAUAUUUCUAGAAAAUAUGAAUUACAUAUCGCUUGUUACCUUGCCCAAUUUUUCUGCAUGACUGGAUUAAGAGAACAAUUUUACCACCAGCUAUCAACCCAGCACAAGGUUUCUAGAACUCACGAACAAUAUAGUCCAAAUGUUCCAUGGCAACAAAAAGCAAGCAACUACCAAGUCAAAGCUUCCUGUAACCGGAAAAAAAAGCCCCCUGUCGCUCCCAAGGCGAAUGAUGCCACAUCUAAUAGUGUCGUGCCUAAUGCUGCCAAUAGUCUACCAGGGUGUACUCGAAGCCACUGAAGCUCAUGGAUUAGCAUUGUCCCGCUCUAGAUGAUGUUCUGAUUUGUACUCCCUCCGUUUCAAAUUACUCGUCGUGGUUUUAGCUAAAACCACGACGAGUAAUUUGGAACGGAGGGAGUAAUAAACUAGAUUGUGUCUUUCUUUUUGAGAGGGAAUUAGAUUGUGCUUUUGUUGGAACAAACACAACAUUAUUCAGGAUGUUCUUUUGGUUUCAA